CAUAUUGUGACGUCCGCUGCGACCUCAGGCGUCAAUCGACUGCUAGAAUUCGACGUUGUGAAACGGCUACAAUGAAAAUCGGGGAGGAGAUCUCUCGCGGUGGAUGAAUAGGCGGUUGUGAAGUCAGCGGAGCACCGUUUUCGGCUACGCCGAACGUAUAACCAGUGACGCUUUAUACCUGAUAGUUAGGUCACGUCCAAAGCAUGCCACUGUACCUUUUGUAUCGGCGCUGCGGAUGCGAAAAGAAGAAAAGUUCAUUUGUGUUAGAAGGGCCAGAUUGUUCGUGAGUUCGAGACGAGAGGGCUUUUGUAGACGAGCGGAACGCUACCUUAAGGUGUAUGACGAAUAUCGACGGGAAGACCGGGACGGACCCAACUGAAACCGGACAGGCCCAGUUUCCUAUGAUGACCGUGCGGAG